AUGCAAGUCGAGCGGAGCGAGGGUGCUUGCACCUUAGCUUAGCGGCGGACGGGUGAGUAAUGCUUAGGAAUCUGCCUAUUAGUGGGGGACAACAUUCCGAAAGGAAUGCUAAUACCGCAUACGCCCUACGGGGGAAAGCAGGGGAUCUUCGGACCUUGCGCUAAUAGAUGAGCCUAAGUCGGAUUAGCUAGUUGGUGGGGUAAAGGCCUACCAAGGCGACGAUCUGUAGCGGGUCUGAGAGGAUGAUCCGCCACACUGGGACUGAGACACGGCCCAGACUCCUACGGGAGGCAGCAGUGGGGAAUAUUGGACAAUGGGCGGAAGCCUGAUCCAGCCAUGCCGCGUGUGUGAAGAAGGCCUUUUGGUUGUAAAGCACUUUAAGCGAGGAGGAGGCUACUUAGAUUAAUACUCUAGGAUAGUGGACGUUACUCGCAGAAUAAGCACCGGCUAACUCUGUGCCAGCAGCCGCGGUAAUACAGAGGGUGCGAGCGUUAAUCGGAUUUACUGGGCGUAAAGCGUGCGUAGGCGGCUUUUUAAGUCGGAUGUGAAAUCCCCGAGCUUAACUUGGGAAUUGCAUUCGAUACUGGGAAGCUAGAGUAUGGGAGAGGAUGGUAGAAUUCCAGGUGUAGCGGUGAAAUGCGUAGAGAUCUGGAGGAAUACCGAUGGCGAAGGCAGCCAUCUGGCCUAAUACUGACGCUGAGGUACGAAAGCAUGGGGAGCAAACAGGAUUAGAUACCCUGGUAGUCCAUGCCGUAAACGAUGUCUACUAGCCGUUGGGGCCUUUGAGGCUUUAGUGGCGCAGCUAACGCGAUAAGUAGACCGCCUGGGGAGUACGGUCGCAAGACUAAAACUCAAAUGAAUUGACGGGGGCCCGCACAAGCGGUGGAGCAUGUGGUUUAAUUCGAUGCAACGCGAAGAACCUUACCUGGUCUUGACAUACAGAGAACUUUCCAGAGAUGGAUUGGUGCCUUCGGGAACUCUGAUA
rnacentral:rRNA from 1 species